UACGUAGGGACCGAGCGUUGUCCGGAAUCAUUGGGCGUAAAGAGCGUGUAGGCGGCCUUUUAAGUCCUGCGUGAAAUCCUGCGGCUCAACCGCAGACGGUCGUGGGAAACUGGAAGGCUAGAGUGCGGGAGAGGAGAGUGGAAUUCCCGGUGUAGCGGUGAAAUGCGCAGAUAUCGAGAGGAACACCAGUGGCGAAGGCGAGUCCCUGGACACUUCCUGACACUGAGGCACGAAAGCUAGGGGAGCAAACAGG
rnacentral:rRNA from 1 species